GAUGAAGCGAGGAGGUGAUUAUGCAGGAGUCAUCCACACGCCAGUUUUAUCGCCAGUAUUUUUUGGCGACGCAGGGAGCGUCAUGGCUGGCCCGCCAGGUAGCAGGAGCGCGGUUGAAAAUGCUCGAGGAACUGAUGCAGUGGGAAGUUACAAAACCGACUUCUGAUUCUCAUUGACUUGCCCUUAUCAUGUGUGACUGAGUAUUGGUGCUACAUUGCCACGCCAGCAGAUGUUUUCUGCUGGCUUUUUUC
rnacentral:sRNA from 1 species